rnacentral:rRNA from 1 species
CUUGCUAAGGCCGAUGGCGACCGGCGCACGGGUGAGUAACACGUAUCCAACCUGCCGAUAACUCGGGGAUAGCCUUUCGAAAGAAAGAUUAAUACCCGAUGGCAUAAUAGAACCGCAUGGUUUGAUUAUUAAAGAAUUUCGGUUAUCGAUGGGGAUGCGUUCCAUUAGGCAGUUGGUGGGGUAACGGCCCACCAAACCUUCGAUGGAUAGGGGUUCUGAGAGGAAGGUCCCCCACAUUGGAACUGAGACACGGUCCAAACUCCUACGGGAGGCAGCAUG